rnacentral:rRNA from 1 species
AUUGAACGCUGGCGGCAUGCCUUACACAUGCAAGUCGAACGGCAGCAUGAUCUAGCUUGCUAGAUUGAUGGCGAGUGGCGAACGGGUGAGUAAUACAUCGGCACGUGCCCUGUAGUGGGGGAUAACUAGUCGAAAGAUUAGCUAAUACCGCAUACGACCUGAGGGUGAAAGUGGGGGACCGCAAGGCCUCAUGCUAUAGGAGCGGCCGAUGUCUGAUUAGCUAGUUGGUGAGGUAAAGGCUCACCAAGGCGACGAUCAGUAGCUGGUCUGAGAGGACGAUCAGCCACACUGGGACUGAGACACGGCCCAGACUCCUACGGGAGGCAGCAGUGGGGAAUUUUGGACAAUGGGCGAAAGCCUGAUCCAGCAAUGCCGCGUGUGUGAAGAAGGCCUUCGGGUUGUAAAGCACUUUUGUCCGGAAAGAAAUGGCUCUGGUUAAUACCUGGGGUCGAUGACGGUACCGGAAGAAUAAGGACCGGCUAACUACGUG